AACGAACGCUGGCGGCAGGCUUAACACAUGCAAGUCGCGCGCCCCGCAAGGGGAGCGGCAGGCGGGGGAGGAACGCGUGGGAACGUACCUUUUGGUUCGGCGCCACUCCGGGAAACUGGAGCUAAUACCGGAUAAGCCCUAACGGGGAAAGAUUUAUCGCCGAAAGAUCGGCCCGCGUCUGAUUAGCUAGUUGGUGAGGUAACGGCUCACCAAGGCGACGAUCAGUAGCUGGUCUGAGAGGAUGAUCAGCCACACUGGGACUGAGACACGGCCCAGACUCCUACGGGAGGCAGCAGUGGGGAAUAUUGGACAAUGGGCGCAAGCCUGAUCCAGCCAUGCCGCGUGAGUGAUGAAGGCCUUAGGGUUGUAAAGCUCUUUUGUCCGGGAAGAUAAUGACUGUACCGGAAGAAUAAGCCCCGGCUAACUUCGUG
rnacentral:rRNA from 1 species